UAUGGCCAUAUCAUGUUGAAAUACUGGUUCCUGUAUGAUUGCUGAAGUUAAGCAACAUCGAGCCUGGUAAGUACCUAGAUGGGUGACUGCUUGGAAAUACUAGUUUCUG